CUUGCACACCUUUGGAAUUUAUGCAUCCCAUUUUGGAGACCACUAUACAACAUUCUUCCUUAGGAGUAUGAGCAUUACUGGACAGAGUUGAGAGGAACUACUCUUUUCUUUUAUACCGACAAAAAGAGUAUAAUAUAUGUUGACAAAUUAGACAUAGUAGACCUCACAUGCCUUACUGAGCAGAAUUCAACUGAAAAGAACUGUGCGAAAUUCACCCUUGUUUUGCCGAAAGAGGAAGUACAACUGAAGGUGAGCGAGGAGAAACAGUAGUCUGUAAAGGGUUGUGGUUAUAAAUAACAUUCUUCACAUCCAGUGGCUGAAGUAAAGAGAAAUUGUAAGACAGGCUAAGUCUUACACUUUGUUAAUAUUUUUGCUUGCGUCUGGCCAAGACCUAGUUUUCUGAAUUGGAAUUUAAAAAGACGUGUUCACUUGUUUAGCAUACAAGCGCCACGAAACCAGAUACUCCUGCCCUCUGACAAAGUCAAGGAUCCCACCUGGUGUUUGCUAAGGUUGUUCUUGAAUCAGCAUUCAAAAUGAGCCAAUAAAAGUCACCCAGUAACCACGGUAAUAACAUAAAGAGAACAACUUGUAUUAAAUAAGAUAUACUCGGAGACUUUUCCUGGGAGAUUACUGAUUGACC
rnacentral:lncRNA from 1 species